rnacentral:rRNA from 1 species
ACAGUCACUGACAUUAGAUACCCCUGUAGUCCAGGGUGUAAACGCUGCAGACUUGGUGUUGGAGGCCCUUUGGGGGCAUUCAGUGCCGGAGAGAAGUUGUUAAGUCUGCUACUUGGGGAGUACGUCCGCAAGGAUGAAACUUAAAGGAAUUGGCGGGGGAGCACCGCAACGGGAGGAGCGUGCGGUUUAAUUGGAUUCAACACCGUAAAACUCACCAGGGAAGACUGUUACAUGAAGGCCGAGAUGAAGACUCUGCUAGAUUUUCAG